CAGCUAUUGGCUGCUCUGUGGUGCAUCACUGAAAUAGCUGCCUUAGCAAAACUAAGGAUGCCUCUCAGAGCUACUACUCUCUCUUUCUGCCAGUUUGGACCCUGUCUUCUCCAACUGAAAACUUGUUAUACAAGAGCUGUAUGAAAUAGGUUGGGAAGAGAGCUACUUUACCCAAAAAACACUUAAAAAGCUGUGAGCAUGGUUAUACAGCAAAUGGACUCAAACUACAAAGUGAAUCCUGGCCCCGGAAAACAACGAUGAGCUUGUGCCUGUAGUGCUGCAGAAACUGCAGUUUGCAGAUGAAUUUGUGUGGCUGUUAACAAGCAAUUAAAGUUAAAAACCCCAAGCACAUUUCAUGGAAGAACUCAUGUCAGAUUGUGAGCCUGAUAACAAAAAAUGCUGCAUCGACUGAGCCAUCUAGCUGCAGCUCAGAAACCUUUUUUGCAUAAUUUUGCUUUGGACUCAGCAAACUUGUUUUCGAUGCAUGCUAAGGCUUGCUAAAUCCUGUCAUUCAGGUUCCAUGCCAUUAGGCUUUCAAACAUUCAGUGAAAAUGCAGCCUCUUUACACUGGCAGAUGGCAGAGUCCCCUCCUAUCCGUGUACUGUAAAACGCAGUUACAUGCUUUGCGACAGGUCACGGGUGAUGCAGAAAAGACACUUCCUUCUCACGUGUAGGAUUGCUACAGACUGGAAAGUGGGAUAUCAAUGCAAUCUAAAAAAACUGCAUUAUCGUCAUGGGUGAACAGAGAACCCCUUCCAGCUGUUGCAAGAAACAAUGUUCACUCUGCCUCUUGGAGCAUCUGGCUUAUGGCAGCAAAGAGGAACAAGGAUGUUUCUGCAACUUCCGUUUACUGCAACUUUCUUGCUUUUCUUUGGUGAACGAAGAUGCCAGGCACUGUUGGAGGGCAAGCAAGCAAGUAGUAGUUCUGAGAGCCCUAAGAGCUGUUACAAGCACCGGGACGCUUCUGAAGACAUAGACAAUUGUGUUUCACAGAUUAAAAUAUGGGCAUUCUUCUGCAUUUGUGACACCUCUUCUCUCAUCCCAAGGAUCACUGUGUAAACGCUCUUCCUCUCCUAUUGCAUAUUGCUAAUGUCUGCUUGCUACUGUAUUUUCUGUUUCCAGUCAAAGCAUUUACAUCUUGCUCUUCAACUAGAAAAGCCCUCAGAACAGAUCAAUAAAAAAACUACACAGUGCUGCUUCUCAGGCUAACAAUCCAAAAAUACAGGAUACAAAAGGAAAAAGGAGGAGAGGGAAGAGGAAAGCGAGCAAACUUGGGCAACAAAUUCUUUAUUUUACAAUGUUCUUCUAAUAACCAGCUUGGAUGGAAACAAAAAAUAUUAUAUUCAUUUAUUCUGCAGUGACUUAUCGCCUGCUGAUUUAAAAGCAAGGACGGUGUGUAUGACUUUCAUUAAAGAU